rnacentral:rRNA from 1 species
UUCUGGGUCAGUCUGUUGGUGAUUCAUAAUAACUGAUCGGAUCGCAUAGCUUCACGCUGGCGAUAGUUCAUUCAAAUUUCUGCCCUAUCAGCUUUCGACGGUAGUGUAGUGGACUACCGUGGCGCUAACGGGUAACGGGGAAUUAGGGUUCGAUUCCGGAGAGGGAGCCUGAGAAACGGCUACCACAUCCACGGAAGGCAGCAAGCGCGCAAAUUACCCAAUCCUGACACAGGGAGGUAGUGACAAGGGGAAUGAGUACAAUUUAAAUCCCUUAACG